AUUGUCGUCGGGGCCGGGUUUUAUCUGGGCUUUGGGCUCCGCUGCCUGGCUCGGCCUAUUAACGUUUGCUCGUCUGAUUGCAGACACAGCUCGGGGGGCUGGAAGAGGCCAGCGUGGGGCAGUGCACCCUGGGGGGCACCGAGGGAAAUCGGAGCAACAGCUGCUGGUGGCCACGUCCCUCAUCCUUCUGCCUCCUGCUCCUUGGAGCACCUCACCACAACAAGGACACGAGGAGCUUCGGGUCAUCGGCUGAAAAAAAACCCCAGGACCAUCCAGCGAGGAAAUGAGGAGACUGCAAAGAAAAAUAAUGAAAGGCCUUUCUUGUGCAGUCCUGCUCGGCACGAACCGGGAUCAGGCCCUCCUCCUUCUCCUUGGCCCUCACGCUAUAAGAAACCCUGCUGCGGAUUUCACAACGGCGUGAUUGACAAGAUUAGAAAUUAUCUCCCCCUCUCUCUACAUAUAAGGUUACUGCCGCUCCAGGCACAGUGUGAAAUUCCCCUUGCCGGAGCUCAUUAAAUGGGUCAAUGGACGCGUUCCAGCUUCUCUGCAGUUCACAAAGGGCUGAGUCCUGGCCACCCCACCAAACUCUGUCCCAGGCUGUUGACGAGUAAGUGCUUCCAUAUGGCUCACCUCAGCAUCUCCAGAAAGAUAACAGAGAGUUAAUGGCUUGCAGAUUCCACGGAUGCUCGUCGCGAGACGUGCGGAGGAACCGGGGGCUCUGGGCUGCAUUCAAUCACAGCUGAUUGGGAGCGAGGGGACCGCAGGCUCCCUGCCACCAGCUGUCCCCACAGACCUUCCCCUCGGGGACAGGGGCAGGACGUUCACACAGCUGCUGGGGGAACAUGGGCAGAGCAGAGGGAAGGGCUGGUGGGCUGGCUCUGAGGUUACGUGGUGUCCUCACGGCCCUGGGACAAGCAGCAGUGAGAUCCUGGUCUGACACUGGAGGCACCCGUGGCCCUUUAGAUAUCCGCAGGCCUGAAGCCACUGAUGAAGUUUUGGUGACGUGAAGCUGGGGAACACAGCGAAAGCAUUCCUUUUUUUGCCCUUUCUCUUUCUUUUUUUUUUUUUUUUUUUUUUUUUCUUUUUCUUUUUUUUUUCUUUUUUCUUUUUUUAUGGCACUUCAGUGAAGAGAUGGCUUCUCCAAACCAUAUCUGUCACAAGGAAUGAUUUACAAAUCUCUCCCUGGCGUCCCUUCCCUCUGUGAGUCCACCUGCAGACUGCAUGGCAGGGAGCUCAUCCUGCAGCUCCUGCUCGUGCCACCGGCUACGAUCCCGGUGGUCCCGCUCCUGGGGGGCAGCCGGGUGGCUCCAUCACCCAUGCCACGGCGAGGAUGUCAAAUGCACCCAAACGCACCGCUCCCAACAUUUCUGCUGAAUAUCUGAGUACAGAAUUUAUAUUUAAUGAGUGUGCGUGCUGGGGAAGUUGGAGCGUUGGCAUUAUUCAUGCGGAAGAGACACAAUGGGGUCAAGAGCACAGGUGAAUCAAAGAGCUCUCUGCACCUGAACAAGCUCCCAGG
rnacentral:lncRNA from 1 species